ensembl:snRNA
GUGUUGUAUAAACGGAGAGGCGGUUAGCAAUCUCCUUGCAUAUGGUUAAGGCAUUGCCAUCUUCUCUGUGGCAUCUAACCAUGGUUUUUA